GAAAACCGUUCACACGUGCGGGUUGUUUGUAAAAACAAACUGUGUAGAUGGCAGCUCAGAGAUAGGGUCUUAAUGUCUUUAAACGAAUAAGGGAUGUGUUUGGACAGAAGCAGAGCUCUGGGACGUGUGGACAGACAUUGACUGUAAUGAUGGACAUCUGCUCAUGGACAGGGAAGUAUUACAACAAGUGGUCCUUGGUCCUUUUUGUUAUUAAUACAGUGUUUUUUCUUCCAGAAGGAAGCAUAACCCCUGCCAGACGUGAUGUAGUGACGGCCAUCUGCUCAUGGACAGAAGCAUAACCCCUGCUGGACACCGGGACGGGGCUCAGGAAGGACCCAACUCAUCCCCGUCCCUUCAUUCACACAACACUCACUCAUUACGCAGUGAUCUGGCUGGAAUCGAACCAGCAAUCUCUGAACCGUGAGGCAGCGCUCUUACCUGUGAGCCACAGAUCACUUGUUGGAGCUUGUGCUGGAACUUAUAUUUCACUGUUCACCUGUAUGUGAGUUUACAAUAAAGCAGUUAAAGCUCAGAGUUGGCUGGUUGUUGCUGAGGUGAGAUUCGAUCCCCUGUCUCCAUCACAGCUGGAAACAUGUGUUUAACCACUAACCCAUUGUGGUUUUCACGCUUUGUGCUUUAUUUUUAAGGCACUUUAUUGGAUGUAAUGACAAUUUAAAUGAGUUAAAGCUUUCAGUUGGGUGAUUGUUGUCUGGGAUUUGAACUCUUGCCUCAGCCGCAGAUUUAUCAGCAGGAAACGUGUGUAUAACCACUAACCCAUCACGGCUUUCACACUGAGUGCUUGCAUUUGGGACACUUUGUUGGAUUUCUCAUUACAUCAAUUAAACAAGAGCUUUCAUGGGAUUUGAACUCAAGACUCCAACAUUACAGUGCAACACUUUAUCUACUGAGCCAGUUUUGUCCAGCAGGCGUCACCAGUGUGGUGUUUCGAGCGAUUCGAAACAGUGAAUCAUUUUGUGAAUCAUCUGAUUCAAAGACUCGAAAAGAGCUUCAGAUUGAGACUUGGAGCAGGACAUGGCCUGGGAAGCGCUCACUAUCCAGAUGAUCCUCAAGGCGGCGUAAGCGGCUUCACGAUCAGACUGACACUUCGUUCAGGAUGCUCGACCAACAUGGCUUUGUUUACAAGCGUGCACACUGUUUAAAACACAGAUCCUGGAGACGACAGCUCAGUGACAGUUGUUAAAUGUCGCUAAACAGCGGAUAUUCCCGCACAUCAACACACAGAAACGACACAUGCUGCGAGGAAACGAUUGACAGGCGACUCACCUCACAGUAACCAGAGGCUGAAACAACGACAAAAGAGCAAACAAAGAGACCUCAUCUUCAUCAUGAGGGAUGUGUUUGGACAGAAGCAGAGCUCUGGGACGUGUGGACAGACGUUGACUGUAAUGAUGGACAUCUCUUCAUGGACAGCAAGAAGCAUAACCCCUGCUGGACAUCGUGCCGGGGCUCGGGGGGGGGGGGACCCGAAUCAUCCCCGUCUCUUCAUUCACACAACACUCACUCAUUACGCAGUGAUCUGGCUGGAAUCGAACCAGCAACCUCUGAACCGUGAGGCAGCGCUCUUACCUGUGAGCCACAGAUCACUUGUUGGAGCUUGUGCUGGAACUUAUAUUUCACUGUUCACCUGUAUGUGAGUUUACAAUAAAGCAGUUAAAGCUUUGA